AUCCUUCUGUAGUUCUUAAGUGUAAUAAUUGGGUGUUCAUGCUCUUGUGUGAGAUGUGUCUCCCUCAAACCUUGUAACGACAUCGGCACUUUACCCGUUUGAUA